GGCAAUUCCCAUUUAUUAAGUGCCUGCCAUGUGUGGGAUCUUGUGACUGCCUCAGAGGACAGUCUUUGCUGUCAGGGAAUUUGCAGUCUGAUGCAGAGAUAUAUACUCAACAAAGCAAUUAGUAUAUAGUAUGAUAUUUACUUUAAUGGGGGUAUGGACACAAUGCCCUAGAGCAUUGGAGAAGGAGAACUGGAGUCCACCUGGACUUGGGAGAGGUUAUCCAGAAUAGAGAAAACAUUUAAACUGAAGCUUAACAGAUGAACUGAGGUUGGCCAAGUGACUAAGAGAGAACAAGGUGUUCUAGGUAGAGGAACUAGCACAUGCAAAAGCACAGAGAGGUUAGGUGUGUUCACGGGUCAGUGGGAAGCAUUGCUGGAGGGCAGGGGGAGUGCAAAGAAUGGUGGAAGAGGAGGGCACAGGCCCAGUCUUGCAAGACCUUAGAUGUUUCAAAGGAGCUUAAGUUAGAUACUGUGUAGGUAAGGGACAGCUAUUGAAGAGUUUUCAGGGUGGCAGCUAAUGUUCUCAUAUUUAAUCUUUGCAUUAAUCUUUUGAGGUAAGCAAUUGUGUCUUGAAUUUAGGUGGAAAAUUGGAGAGGUAAAAUAAGGGCCUAAACUUCAGAGCGUAGUAAAUGGUAAAGUGAAGACUCAAUUCCAUUUGUGUUCUACUGCAGAGUCCAGUAGAACUAUGGUCUGGAGAGGAGGAAUGUGGGAAGAAGCAAUUUUCAAGCAUCUGUGCCCUGCUAAGAGCAUAUCUACUAACACACAGAGUGCACAGAGGAGGGUCAGAGAGAGAGGGACAGAAAGAAUCCCAAGCAGGCUCUGUGCUGUCAGCUCUGGGGCUGGAUAUCAUGAAUGGUGGAUCAUGACCUGAGCUGAAACCAAGAGCUGGACACUUAACCAACUGAGCUACCCAGGUGCCCCUAUGUUAGGUAUGUUUUAAGGUAAUGAGGACACAAGAAGAAGUAUGUUGGCACUGCUGCCCUUGGGAAGCUCAUUAUGUAGUGGGGUAGGUAGCAGUGGAAACAAAUAAUUGAACAUCAUGUAAUAAACACUGAAUAUUAAAUGAUAUAUGAAGCACAUGAUCUUACACAGUGACAAUGAAUUACCCCAAAGCAAAGAGUUUGGGUGUCCUCAUGUUAAAUUUCUUGGUAGAUAAGGAAAUAACUAAAAAUAACAGUCACAUAUAUUUGGAGUUAUUUCUAGAGACUGUAUUGUAAGCCCUGGGAAGGUGAAUGGGGCAAUUGCUGAAACAUUGGCAAUGUUCUGGUUUCAAGGCUGUUGAACGUGAUAGCACUAUGAGAACAGAGCCCCAUGAUCUCCCAGGAGCCAGUUAGGGAACAGACCCUCUGUAACUGCCUAGCAGUCCUUGAAACUGCACAUCCUCCUGCAUGCUUUCAUGUAAACACCAGAUGUGUGUUUGGUCUAUGUCUGGAGGCUCUUUGUGUUUUCCUUCCAUGCUUUAACAUUCUUUGAUGUUUAUACCCGGUGAACAUGAAAUAAAGACUAUGUGCAGUUUGAUGCUGCUGUUUUACUGGCA